CUUCCUUCCUCUGCAAGAGAAUCUGAUGCCUGAAACUCAGAAACGUCAUACACGUCUUCUCAGAGCUGGCGCUCCAGUGAGAGGCGGGUGAGACACUUCUCAUCAGCAUGGUGGUCACGUGAGCAGAUUGUAGGACUACAGAAUGAACUGAUUAAGCGUGGGGUCUUAAAGAACCAACAGGACUGUGAAGACUUUUGGACUCUGAUUCCCCAGAGCUGUCACAGUUCACAGCUCAAAGGAAAACUUGAGGACAUAAAAUCAAAAAGUUGGGUUUCUUACACAUUUGGUCAUAUCUGAAUAUAUACGCAGUUUAGCUUUUUAAAAAAAAAAAAAAAAAGCAGCAGCAAGAGAAGAAGCCAGACUUUUAAGUGAUGUAGAAGGGUGUAACUUAUUAAAAUGAAUGCAACAGUGCUCGUCUUUGUCACAUGAGAAUCAAACCCCGCAACAUGAUAUUAUCCCUUCAGAUUGAUGCUGCAAUUUAUCACAUUAUUUAUGCUUGUUAAGCAAAAAGUAUCUCAGGCUCCAGAAAACGGAAGAGUAGAGAUAUGAAACGCCAAAAUUCAAAGUAAUCUUCUUUGGAUUCUUUUAAUAAGCGAGAAGUCUGUAUGCCAGAGUGUGUGGAAAGUCUGCUUGGUUUGCGUAACAUGUAUUUUGAAAAAGUUCUUUUCAUGACUGAAUCUAAUACAGUAGGAAAGUGGUUAAGUAUAAUAAUCUUUACUAGGUUAGGAUGAGAAAUACCUUGACUCGUGGUUGUCGUGAUCACUUAAAUAUGGCUUACUCCUUCUGAUCCUCUUAAAAGUGAUUGAAAUGUGUAGAUUGUAUUCUCAGUCUUUGUUACUGUGACUCUCUUAACCACUUCCCUAUUUAUUUUACACUCAUAUGUUGUUUUGUGCCUUAAUUUGUGCCACAAUCCUGCAGAUGUGUACUUUGUUCACUGUACCUAUUCCGUUAAUCUAAACUUGCCUGUAAAAUCAAGACAGCCACAUCUAUGAAUUAAGGGAAAAUCAGUAGUUGAUGAAGACUGAUCCCUUGAUUUAUACAGAGAUGUCUCAGUCGCCUUCUAGAUCUUGAGCACAGAUUACUCUGCACUUAUACUCUGUUUAUAGUUUGAAGAGUCUCUUGUCUUAUACAAAUCUGUGAGUACUAUGAUAUUAAGAAAUUAAAAAAAAAAAGGUGAUAAAUACCAGUCUGAAGACUGGGUACCUGAGUUAGAAAACUCUCUUAUAGCUAAACCAUUGUU
rnacentral:lncRNA from 1 species